CCAAAUAAUUUUUGUUUUUUUCUCUUCGAACUCUUAACUUCCAAAUUUAAUUCCUCCAUAUUUCCAUCUCUUUCUCUCUCUCAUUCCUCCAUCUAUCGAGUCCCACAACCUGUUGGUUUUGAUUCCAGACUAUGAUAGAUGAAUACUAGUGGUGGUCCAGUUCGUGAUGGGGUGGAGAUUUGAGCGAUUAAAGAAGCAUCCAAGGAAAAAGACUGAUUCCCUUAUAAUAGUGAAAGAUCAUAGUUCUAAAAAUAGAAGGGGAAAUACAGUACAGUAGCAAAGUCUCUGCCUCAGUCUCGUCGUUUGGAGGGAAGGUGAUUGGGAGAAGCAAGGGAAAAAAAUGGAUCAUAUCUGAGAGCUCCAAUGAAGAUAAAGACCACGUGGACGAUUAGGACAAGAGUAUAGUUUAAGGUUUUAGUGAAGAAGGUAAUAGGGAAGACAGAAGUGAUGAAGGAGAAUGUGAUCAUAACAAUAAUAUAUCAUGUGGUAGAAAGCACCAUCCAUCCAAUUGCUUUUUCAUCAUUUCCAGCCGAAGUUUCCCUCUGGAUGAGUUGGUAAUGUGAAUUUCUUUUAAUUGUCUUUUUAUACCUAUCUGAACUGACAAACUUAACCUUUUCUAUUUCAAACAUCAAUCAACAUGAUGAGUUUUAUUGUAACACUCAAUAAGAGGUCAAUCAAUUAAAAAUUUAAGGGUAUAAUUGUAUCCAACCACGUAGCUUAA